rnacentral:rRNA from 1 species
GAUAAACGCUGGCGGCGUACAUAAGACAUGCAAGUCGAACGGCAGAAGUUGGAAGUUUUUAACAUUCAAUGGAAACCGUGGCGGACGGGUGAGUAACACGUAAAUAACCUGCCUACAAGAGGGGGAUAACAGAGAGAAAUUUCUGAUAAUACCGCAUAGGCUAGAAGUGCCGCAUGGUACAGCUAGAAAAGAUUUAUCACUUGUAGAUGGAUUUGCGUCUGAUUAGCUAGUUGGUGAGAUAACAGCCCACCAAGGCGACGAUCAGUAGCCGGAUUGAGAGGUUGAACGGCCACAUUGGGACUGAGACACGGCCCAGACUCCUACGGGAGGCAGCAGUCGGGAAUAUUGCACAAUGGAGGAAACUCUGAUGCAGUGACGCCGCGUAUAGGAAGAAGGUCUUAGGAUUGUAAGCUAUUGUCGUGCAAGAAGAAAAUGACUAUUGCAGGAGGAAGCCCUGGCUAAAUAUGUGCCAGCAGCCGCGGUAAUACAUAUGGGGCGAGCGUUAUCCGGAAUUAUUGGGUGUAAAGGGUGCGUAGGCGGAAUAGCACGUCAGUAUGUGAAAUCUCUCGGCUCAACCGAGAAACUGCGACUGAAACUACUAUUCUUGAGUGUUGGAGGGGAAAGUGGAAUUCCUAGUGUAGCGGUGAAAUGCGUAGAUAUUAGGAGGAACACCAGUGGCGAAGGCGACUUUCUGGACAACAACUGACGCUGAGGCACGAAAGCGUGGGUAGCAAACAGGAUUAGAUACCCUGGUAGUCCACGCCGUAAACGAUGGAUACUAGGGGUUGGCAAGAAAAUUGUCAGUCCCGAAGUUAACGCGAUAAGUAUCCCACCUGGGGAGUACGACCGCAAGGUUAAAACUCAAAGGAAUUGACGGGGGCCCGCACAAGCAGUGGGGUAUGUGGUUUAAUUCGACGCAACGCGAAGAACCUUACCAGGGCUUGACAUAUACAGGAAUAUAUAAGAGAUUAUAUAGCUCUACGGAGUCUGUAUACAGGUGGUGCAUGGUUGUCGUCAGCUCGUGUCGUGAGAUGUUGGGUUAAGUCCCGUAACGAGCGCAACCCCUAUGAUUAGUUGCUAACAUUCAGUUGAGGACUCUAAUCAGACUGCCGUUGAUAAAACGGAGGAAGGUGGGGACGACGUCAAAUCAUCAUGCUCCUUAUGUCCUGGGCUACACACGUACUACAAUGGGCAAGACAGAGGGCAGCGAAGCGGUGACGCUAAGCAAAUCCCAAAACUUGUUCUCAGUUCGGAUUGAAGUCUGAAACUCGACUUCAUGAAGCUGGAAUUGCUAGUAAUGGCAGGUCAGCAUACUGCCGUGAAUACGUUCCCGGGCCUUGUACACACCGCCCGUCACACCAUGAGAGUUGGGAAUACCCGAAGCCUGUGAGCUAACCUAUAUGGAGGUAGCAGUCGAAGGUAGAAUCAAUGAUUGGGGUGAAGUCGUAACAAGGUAGCCGUAUCGGAAGG